AUUGAACGCUGGCGGCAUGCCUUACACAUGCAAGUCGAACGGUAACGGGCCUUCGGGUGCCGACGAGUGGCGAACGGGUGAGUAAUGUAUCGGAACGUACCUUUCAGUGGGGGAUAACGUAGCGAAAGUUACGCUAAUACCGCAUAUUCAGUGAGCAGGAAAGCAGGGGAUCGCAAGACCUUGCGCUGAUUGAGCGGCCGAUAUCAGAUUAGCCAGUUGGUGAGGUAAAGGCUCACCAAGGCGACGAUCUGUAGCGGGUCUGAGAGGAUGAUCCGCCACACUGGAACUGAGACACGGUCCAGACUCCUACGGGAGGCAGCAGUGGGGAAUUUUGGACAAUGGGGGCAACCCUGAUCCAGCCAUGCCGCGUGAGUGAAGAAGGCCUUCGGGUUGUAAAGCUCUUUCGGCCGGGAAGAAAUCGUAUGGGUUAAUACCCUGUGCGGAUGACGGUACCGGCAUAAGAAGCACCGGCUAGCUACGUGCCAGCCGCCGCAGUAA
rnacentral:rRNA from 1 species